rnacentral:misc_RNA from 1 species
AAGUCGUAACAAGGUUUCCGUAGGUGAACCUGCGGAAGGAUCAUUAGAGAGAAUAACAUAACAAACCAUUGUGAAUAAGACGUUCGCGUCUGGCGUUCGCGCCGUUACAAACUUAGCUUGGUCAGAAUGUAAAACUGUAACAAAAUACAACUUUCAACAACGGAUCUCUUGGCUCUC